UACGUAGGGUGCGAGCGUUAAUCGGAAUUACUGGGCGUAAAGCGUGCGCAGGCGGUUCGCAAAGUCUGAUGUGAAAGCCCCGGGCUCAACCUGGGAACUGCAUUGGAAACUAACGGGCUCGAGUGUGGCAGAGGGGGGUGGAAUUCCACGUGUAGCAGUGAAAUGCGUAGAUAUGUGGAGGAAUACCGAUGGCGAAGGCAGCCCCCUGGGAUAACACUGACGCUCAUGCACGAAAGCGUGGGGAUCAAACAGG
rnacentral:rRNA from 1 species